rnacentral:lncRNA from 1 species
ACUUGUACAUUGGAAAUAUUUGUGAAAUGUCAUUUGAAGUGCAUGUUGAAUUGUUUGUGAAAUGUGAGGGCUAGUAGCAGACCUUAACCCAUUGUCAUGCGGAUUUGUUGCUUCGAUAUUGUUUCACUUCUCGCUUCAUUGAUCCAUUUUAAAUUUAGUGCUUGUGUUUUGUUUCAUUUUGUUUAGCUUUUGUAAAUUGAGUAACUUGAAUCAUGUCUUAUUUCUUCGAGCCGUUGAUAUGUUUCUUGGACUUCCGCUUAGUUUCAUUGAAUGGUUCGAAACUGAGU